rnacentral:lncRNA from 1 species
CUUCAUUGAAGUUGUUCCUCAGCUUGUGAACUACAACAUAUCCAAAUUUGAGAUCCCUCGGAGCAGUAUAACUCAAGAAAUUCAGGUAUGAUGAAUGACUGGUUAUUAUUUUUUCUGUCAACCCGUCAGAUUUGUUGUGAGCUUCGAAACUCCAUUUUUCUAUUGUUCAGAUCAGCAUGCUUUCUUCAUUGAAGUUGUUCCUCAUCGUCUCUUUCAUAACAUAUCAAAAAUUCAGGA